rnacentral:rRNA from 1 species
UUAAGCGACUAAGCGUACACGGUGGAUGCCCUGGCAGUCAGAGGCGAUGAAGGACGUGCUAAUCUGCGAAAAGCGUCGGUAAGGUGAUAUGAACCGUUAUAACCGGCGAUGUCCGAAUGGGGAAACCCAGUGCAAUUCGUUGCACUAUCGUUAACUGAAUACAUAGGUUAACGAGGCGAACCGGGGGAACUGAAACAUCUAAGUACCCCGAGGAAAAGAAAUCAACCGAGAUUCCCCCAGUAGCGGCGAGCGAACGGGGAGCAGCCCAGAGUCUGAAUCAGCUUGUGUGUUAGUGGAACGGUCUGGAAAGUCCGACGGUACAGGGUGAUAGUCCCGUACACCAAAAUGCACAGGCUGUGAACUCGAAGAGUAGGGCGGGACACGUGGUAUCCUGUCUGAAUAUGGGGGGACCAUCCUCCAAGGCUAAAUACUCCUGACUGACCGAUAGUGAACCAGUACCGUGAGGGAAAGGCGAAAAGAACCCCGGCGAGGGGAGUGAAAAAGAACCUGAAACCGUGUACGUACAAGCAGUGGGAGCACCUUCGGGUGUGACUGCGUACCUUUUGUAUAAUGGGUCAGCGACUUAUAUUCUGUAGCAAGGUUAACCGUAUAGGGGAGCCGCAGGGAAACCGAGUCUUAACUGGGCGUUAAGUUGCAGGGUAUAGACCCGAAACCCGGUGAUCUAGCCAUGGGCAGGUUGAAGGUUGGGUAACACUAACUGGAGGACCGAACCGACUAAUGUUGAAAAAUUAGCGGAUGACUUGUGGCUGGGGGUGAAAGGCCAAUCAAACCGGGAGAUAGCUGGUUCUCCCCGAAAGCUAUUUAGGUAGCGCCUCGUGAAUUCAUCUUCGGGGGUAGAGCACUGUUUCGGCUAGGGGGUCAUCCCGACUUACCAACCCGAUGCAAACUACGAAUACCGAAGAAUGUUAUCACGGGAGACACACGGCGGGUGCUAACGUCCGUCGUGAAGAGGGAAACAACCCAGACCGCCAGCUAAGGUCCCAAAGUCAUGGUUAAGUGGGAAACGAUGUGGGAAGGCACAGACAGCCAGGAUGUUGGCUUAGAAGCAGCCAUCAUUUAAAGAAAGCGUAAUAGCUCACUGGUCGAGUCGGCCUGCGCGGAAGAUGUAACGGGGCUAAACCAUGCACCGAAGCUGCGGCAGCGACACUAUGUGUUGUUGGGUAGGGGAGCGUUCUGUAAGCCUGCGAAGGUGACCUGUGAGGGUUGCUGGAGGUAUCAGAAGUGCGAAUGCUGACAUAAGUAACGAUAAAGCGGGUGAAAAGCCCGCUCGCCGGAAGACCAAGGGUUCCUGUCCAACGUUAAUCGGGGCAGGGUGAGUCGACCCCUAAGGCGAGGCCGAAAGGCGUAGUCGAUGGGAAACAGGUUAAUAUUCCUGUACUUGGUGUUACUGCGAAGGGGGGACGGAGAAGGCUAUGUUAGCCGGGCGACGGUUGUCCCGGUUUAAGCAUGUAGGCUGGUUGUCCAGGCAAAUCCGGAUAAUCAAGGCUGAGGUGUGAUGACGAGGUACUACGGUGCUGAAGUAACAAAUGCCCUGCUUCCAGGAAAAGCCUCUAAGCAUCAGGUAACAUCAAAUCGUACCCCAAACCGACACAGGUGGUCAGGUAGAGAAUACCAAGGCGCUUGAGAGAACUCGGGUGAAGGAACUAGGCAAAAUGGUGCCGUAACUUCGGGAGAAGGCACGCUGGUGUGUAGGUGAAGUCCCUGCGGAUGGAGCUGAGACCAGUCGAAGAUACCAGCUGGCUGCAACUGUUUAUUAAAAACACAGCACUGUGCAAACACGAAAGUGGACGUAUACGGUGUGACGCCUGCCCGGUGCCGGAAGGUUAAUUGAUGGGGUUAUCCGUAAGGAGAAGCUCUUGAUCGAAGCCCCGGUAAACGGCGGCCGUAACUAUAACGGUCCUAAGGUAGCGAAAUUCCUUGUCGGGUAAGUUCCGACCUGCACGAAUGGCGUAAUGAUGGCCAGGCUGUCUCCACCCGAGACUCAGUGAAAUUGAACUCGCUGUGAAGAUGCAGUGUACCCGCGGCAAGACGGAAAGACCCCGUGAACCUUUACUAUAGCUUGACACUGAACAUUGAGCCUUGAUGUGUAGGAUAGGUGGGAGGCUUUGAAGCGUGGACGCCAGUCUGCGUGGAGCCAACCUUGAAAUACCACCCUUUAAUGUUUGAUGUUCUAACGUUGGCCCCUGACCGGGGUUGCGGACAGUGUCUGGUGGGUAGUUUGACUGGGGCGGUCUCCUCCCAAAGCGUAACGGAGGAGCACGAAGGUUAGCUAAUCCUGGUCGGACAUCAGGAGGUUAGUGCAAUGGCAUAAGCUAGCUUGACUGCGAGCGUGACGGCGCGAGCAGGUGCGAAAGCAGGUCAUAGUGAUCCGGUGGUUCUGAAUGGAAGGGCCAUCGCUCAACGGAUAAAAGGUACUCCGGGGAUAACAGGCUGAUACCGCCCAAGAGUUCAUAUCGACGGCGGUGUUUGGCACCUCGAUGUCGGCUCAUCACAUCCUGGGGCUGAAGUAGGUCCCAAGGGUAUGGCUGUUCGCCAUUUAAAGUGGUACGCGAGCUGGGUUUAGAACGUCGUGAGACAGUUCGGUCCCUAUCUGCCGUGGGCGCUGGAGAAUUGAGGGGGGCUGCUCCUAGUACGAGAGGACCGGAGUGGACGCAUCACUGGUGUUCGGGUUGUCAUGCCAAUGGCACUGCCCGGUAGCUAAAUGCGGAAGAGAUAAGUGCUGAAAGCAUCUAAGCACGAAACUUGCCCCGAGAUGAGUUCUCCCUGAGACUUUAAGUCUCCUGAAGGAACGUUAAAGACGAUGACGUUGAUAGGCCGGGUGUGUAAGCGCAGCGAUGCGUUGAGCUAACCGGUACUAAUGAACCGUGAGGCUUAACCUU